UUAUUUUGCUUUUUUGUUGUUGUUGGUAUUUUAUCGGGAUGCAGAUAAAGAUCCAGAGUAUGGUAACCAAGCUGAGAUCAAAGCGCAAAGGUUGUAAGAGAGACAAAGAGAGAGAGGCUUUUAAAAGGAUGACUGCAUUUUAUGUUGAGACGAGCUUACUGAAGCGAGUGCUAGGGUAUUGCAACACAUCGCUUCAGCUCCAGAGGAAGGAAAUGUCAUACAACAAUUAUCUUGGUGUUGACUCAGCGUGGAACUGCGUAUCAGAUUCAGAAAACCCAACAUGUGCAGUCAUGAAGCACACAAAUCCUUGUGGUGAGGCCUACCAGAUAGCUGUAAUAGCUGAUCCAGGUAGCACCUUUGGUGGUAUUGUAGCCGCCAAUGUCAAAGUAGACAAGGGAUUGUUCGCAACAAAAAGAAAAGACAUCUAUUGUGUUACUGAUCACAAGCUCACCAUCUGUUUCACUCAGAAUAUUGUCCUCUCGGAGCUUCAAUACAACCCAGUUGUGAUCGAGAGAAACAUGUUCAGGUUCCGCUCAUUCCAAGAGUUUGAGAGGUGAUUUGUAUGAUAUCAUCCGCCCAUGAAGGUCAUCAAUUGACAGUCUCUCAGCAAACACCCGGUCUUGAACGGAGGCAGCACUCCCACCUACAGCCAAAACAAUGACCUAUGAUUAAUGUCUACCUUUGGGACCAGGCUUCUCAUGAGUCCCACAACAGGUUCAAUGAAAGUCUUGCCACUCUUGCUGUUGCAUUAGUAACAGCAGUUAACACUAAACGUAUUGGAGGUACCUUGCUAAGAUAUCUGUCUACGACAAUGUCGUUAAGGCAACUUUUGUGCUCCUUGGUAAUACUGGUCCUGAGCUAACAGGGAGGCAGGCGUUAGAGCUUAUUGACAAUUACUUCGAGGCUAAUGGGGACAUCGGUGCUAACCAUGAGAUGCCAACUCCACAAUGUCUGGUGGAAGUCUCAAGCUCCAACCUUACAGUUAAGAGACAGACCAUAAGUGUGACGAAGGUUGUUUCUCCUGCAGUUCUGCCACCAUUUGUAGUAGCAGAAAGCCAACCAGACGCAAUCGAUGAAGAGAGCACAUGCUCCUGGAUUAAUUCAUUUCUGUCAUAGGGAGUCUAGCAUAACUUUAUCCAAACUAUUUUUGAACUCUCUGUUCUUGCAUAUUUUUAUAAAUAAUGAAUAAUGACUUGUGAA